rnacentral:rRNA from 1 species
CUACGGGUUGCUGCAGUGAGGAAUAUUGCACAAUGGAGGAAACUCUGAUGCAGCAACGCCGCGUGGAGGAUGACGCAUUUCGGUGUGUAGACUCCUUUUAUAUGUCAAGAAAAUGACGGUAGCAUAUGAAUAAGCACCGGCUAACUCCGUGCCAGCAGCCGCGGUAAUACGGAGGGUGCAAGCGUUACUCGGAAUCACUGGGCGUAAAGGACGCGUAGGCGGGAUAUCAAGUCAGGUGUGAAAUCCUACAGCUUAACUGUAGAACUGCACUUGAAACUGGUAACCUAGAGUAUGGGAGGGGGAGAUGGAAUUAGUGGUGUAGGGGUAAAAUCCGUAGAUAUCACUAGGAAUACCUAAAGCGAAGGCGAUCUCCUGGAACAUAACUGACGCUAAGGCGUGAAAGCGUGGGGAGCAAACAGGAUUAGAUACCCUCGUAGUC